ACAAAGCUGCAGUCUGAUGUGACUAGUCGAAAGCAAACUAACACAAGUGCAGAAAGUCAACAUCAAGGAUACUAAGAUAUUUAUGCUAUAAAUGCUCCAAAUGACACUUUGCAACAGAAAGCCUUUUGAAAUACUAUAAAUAACUUUGAGAUUUCAAAUUCAAAGUUGUUAAUCAUCCCAGUCAUAUAAAUAAAGAAUCAAAAGGUUGUCGCACAAAAGUAAGGAGCCAAAACACAAAAUGAGAAAAUAUUAAGUGUUGGCUUGAGCAAAAAAGUAAGUACGACAGAAUGCACGAGAGCUAGAGCUGCAAUGCCAAAAAGAGCGUAGAGAUGUGCCAAAGUGAAGAAGAGCUAAGAAGCCAAUGAGCCUAGAACCGAAGAACCAAAGAGCCAAAGAGAUGAAGAGCAUAGAGCCAAAAAACCAAGGUGCCUAGAGCUGAAGAGAUGAAGAGCCAGAGAGCCAAUGAGUUAAGAGCUGAAGUGAAGAGAUGAUGAAGAACAUGAUAGAACUAAAAGAAGAAAUGCGUAGAAGCCAUGAAAAGUUGAUGUAUGUGAAGUAAGAGUGACAAAUCAGAAGGCCAACCUCAAGUACCACUCUAUAAUUCACAAAGAACACUCAGAGCUGAACAAAUGAAGACAAAACAAUUGAAUUCUACCAUCCAAAAAGUGUUUAAAACUGCUAAGCACAAGAAUAUGUUGAGCUGAAUUGCAAAGUUUAGCAUCACAUCAACUAUGAUUAUGAGUAGCUGCUAACUACCAGAAAAGGUCGAGCAUAAAUGUCAAAUCUCAACAACACCAAAUAGAUGAUCACCUCCAACAAACAUCAUCAAAUAGGAAGUAGGGUCGGAGGAUCCUGGUCUCAGUAACCAAAUUGGGG
rnacentral:lncRNA from 1 species